AGUGAACGCUGGCGGUAGGCCUAACACAUGCAAGUCGAACGGCAGCACAGUAAGAGCUUGCUCUUACGGGUGGCGAGUGGCGGACGGGUGAGGAAUACAUCGGAAUCUACUUUUUCGUGGGGGAUAACGUAGGGAAACUUACGCUAAUACCGCAUACGACCUACGGGUGAAAGCAGGGGAUCUUCGGACCUUGCGCGAUUGAAUGAGCCGAUGUCGGAUUAGCUAGUUGGCGGGGUAAAGGCCCACCAAGGCGACGAUCCGUAGCUGGUCUGAGAGGAUGAUCAGCCACCCUGGAACUGAGAACCGGUCCAGACUCCUACAGGAGGCAGCAGUGGGGAAUAUUGGACAAUGGGCGCAAGCCUGAUCCAGCCAUACCGCGUGAGUGAAGAAGGCCUUCGGGUUGUAAAGCCCUUUUGUUGGGAAAGAAAAGCAGCAGGUUAAUACCCCGCUGUUCUGACGGUACCCAAAGAAUAAGCACCGGCUAACUUCGUG
rnacentral:rRNA from 1 species